rnacentral:rRNA from 1 species
CACCUAGGCGACGAUCCCUAGCUGGUCUGAGAGGAUGACCAGCCACACUGGAACUGAGACACGGUCCAGACUCCUACGGGAGGCAGCAGUGGGGAAUAUUGCACAAUGGGCGCAAGCCUGAUGCAGCCAUGCCGCGUGUAUGAAGAAGGCCUUCGGGUUGUAAAGUACUUUCAGUGGGGAGGAAGGCGAUGAGGUUAAUAGCUUCGUCGAUUGACGUUACCCGCAGAAGAAGCACCGGCUAACUCCGUGCCAGCAGCCGCGGUAAUACGGAGGGUGCAAGCGUUAAUCGGAAUUACUGGGCGUAAAGCGCACGCAGGCGGUCUGUCAAGUCGGAUGUGAAAUCCCCGGGCUCAACCUGGGAACUGCAUUCGAAACUGGCAGACUAGAGUCUUGUAGAGGGGGGUAGAAUUCCAGGUGUAGCGGUGAAAUGCGUAGAGAUCUGGAGGAAUACCGGUGGCGAAGGCGGCCCCCUGGACAAAGACUGACGCUCAGGUGCGAAAGCGUGGGGAGCAAACA